AAAAAAUCCAAGUCAAUGACUAAAAGUGGAAAAAAAAUCAAAGUCAAGCACUACUUAUGUCAGGAACGAAAGUUGUGAACCUAAAUUGACGGAGGCACUAAAGUCAAAGGACCAAAAGUGGA